rnacentral:rRNA from 1 species
GGCGGCGCGCCUAACACAUGCAAGUCGAACGAGCGAGAGAGAGCUUGCUUUCUCGAGCGAGUGGCGAACGGGUGAGUAACGCGUGAGGAACCUGCCUCAGAGAGGGGGACAACAGUUGGAAACGACUGCUAAUACCGCAUAAGCCCACGGCUCGGCAUCGAGCAGAGGGAAAAGGAGCAAUCCGCUUUGAGAUGGCCUCGCGUCCGAUUAGCUAGUUGGUGAGGUAACGGCCCACCAAGGCGACGAUCGGUAGCCGGACUGAGAGGUUGAACGGCCACAUUGGGACUGAGACACGGCCCAGACUCCUACGGGAGGCAGCAGUGGGGAAUAUUGCACAAUGGGGGAAACCCUGAUGCAGCGACGCCGCGUGGAGGAAGAAGGUCUUCGGAUUGUAAACUCCUGUUGUUGAGGAAGAUAAUGACGGUACUCAACAAGGAAGUGACGGCUAACUACGUGCCAGCAGCCGCGGUAAAACGUAGGUCACAAGCGUUGUCCGGAAUUACUGGGUGUAAAGGGAGCGCAGGCGGGAAAACAAGUUGGAAGUGAAAUCCAUGGGCUCAACCCAUGAACUGCUUUCAAAACUGUUUUUCUUGAGUAGUGCAGAGGUAGGCGGAAUUCCCGGUGUAGCGGUGGAAUGCGUAGAUAUCGGGAGGAACACCAGUGGCGAAGGCGGCCUACUGGGCACCAACUGACGCUGAGGCUCGAAAGUGUGGGUAGCAAACAGAAUUAGAUACCCUGGUAGUCCACACCGUAAACGAUGAUUACUAGGUGUUGGAGGAUUGACCCCUUCAGUGCCGCAGUUAACACAAUAAGUAAUCCACCUGGGGAGUACGACCGCAAGGUUGAAACUCAAAGGAAUUGACGGGGGCCCGCACAAGCAGUGGAGUAUGUGGUUUAAUUCGACGCAACGCGAAGAACCUUACCAAGUCUUGACAUCCCUUGACGAACAUAGAAAUAUGUUUUCUCUUCGGAGCAAGGAGACAGGUGGUGCAUGGUUGUCGUCAGCUCGUGUCGUGAGAUGUUGGGUUAAGUCCCGCAACGAGCGCAACCCUUAUGGUCAGUUACUACGCAAGAGGACUCUGGCCAGACUGCCGUUGACAAAACGGAGGAAGGUGGGGAUGACGUCAAAUCAUCAUGCCCUUUAUGACUUGGGCUACACACGUACUACAAUGGCGUUAAACAAAGAGAAGCAAGACCGCGAGGUGGAGCAAAACUCAGAAACAACGUCCCAGUUCGGACUGCAGGCUGCAACUCGCCUGCACGAAGUCGGAAUUGCUAGUAAUCGUGGAUCAGCAUGCCACGGUGAAUACGUUCCCGGGCCUUGCACA